UGGAGUGCAGUGGCCCUAUCGUGGCUCACUGCAACCUUGAAUUCCUGGGCUCAAGAGAUCCUCCCACCUCAGCCUCCCGAGUAGCAGUAGCUGAGACGAUCAGUGCGCACCACCAAGCCUGAGUAAUUACAAUACUUUUUUCUUUUUCCUUUUCUUGAUUUUCCGUAGAGAUGGGGUCUUCCUAUUUUGUCCAGGCUGAUCUGGAACUCCUGCCCUCAAAAGAUCCUCCUGUCUAAUUCUCCCAAAGUGCUGGGAUUACAGGCAUGUGCCACCGCGCCUGGCCAAAUGCACCCCCGUUUUUUAAGUGUACAAUUCAAUGGUUUUUAAUAGAUUCACAAAGUCAUGGAACCAUCACACCUAUCUAAUUUCAAAAUGUUUUCAUCACUCCAAAAAAUAACCCCAUAUGGGAGGCCGAGGCGGGCAGAUCACUCGAGACCAGCCUGGCCAACAUAUUGAAACCCCGUCUCCACUAAAAAUACAAAAAUUAGUCGGGUGUGAUGGCGCACGCGUGUAGUCCCAGCUGCUCGGGAGGCUGAGGCAGGAGAAUCGCUUGAACGCGGGAGGCGGAGGUUGCAGUGAGCCCAGAUCGCCCCACUGCACUCCAGCCUGGGCGACAGAGCGAGACUCCGUCUCAAAAAUAUCUAAUUAAUUAAUAAAAAUAAAUAAAUAAAUAAAUAAAUAACCCCAUGCCUUCUGCCUCUGUGGCUUUGCCUGUUCUCGGUAUUUUGUGUCAAUGGACCCAUGCAUGGGGGUGGGCCGGGCACCUUUCAAACGUUCAGCCCCCAGGACGGCCCGUGGCCUCCGGAUUGGACGGCGCGAGCUGGGUGUGUGUGGGUCGCUCAAUCGCUCCGGAGCUUCUGGAGGGGGCAGAUGCAGGCGCGGGCUGCUGCAGUGCAGUAGCUGCUGGAGGCUGGGGAGGCCCGGACGCGGUGCAGGAAGACGCCGACCACGCGGGCUCCUGAUCGCGGGCGCCCACAGCGCGGACAUGGCGGGCUGGUGGCCGGCGUUGUCGCGCGCGGCCCGGCGCCACCCGUGGCCCACCGACGUGCUGCUUUACGGCUCGCUUGUCUCGGCCGGGGACGCGCUGCAACAGCGGCUGCAGGGCCGCGAGGCCAACUGGCGCCAGACGCGGCGCGUGGCCACGUUGGUGGUGACCUUCCACGCCAACUUCAACUACGUGUGGCUGGGCCUGCUGGAGCGCGCGCUCCCGGGCCGAGCGCCGCACGCCGUGCUGGCCAAGUUGCUGUGCGACCAGGUGGUCGGUGCGCCCAUCGCGGUCUCGGCCUUCUAUGUCGGUAUGAGCAUUCUCCAAGGAAAGGAUGACAUAUUUUUGGACCUGAAACAGAAAUUCUGGAAUACCUAUCUGCAACCAGGUUGCCAAGAACUGAGUCAAAAUGUGAGGGAAAACAAGCACCUGCAAGGAGAAAGAGGACAGAUGCACUUACAUAGGACAGAUGCAAAUAGACACCACUAUGACAAGUAAAGCUGGAAUAAUCAAUACAUUCCUGAAGACAAAGUGGGGCCGGUCUUUGGGAUUGAGAGACCGCUGACAGCUGUAGAAGUUGGGAAAGAUCCAUCAUCUUGAAAACUUUUUCCCCACAAACCCACUGUGAUCUCUCAAGCAAUUGUCUCUCUCUGUUACCCAGGCUGGAGUGUAGUGGCGCGAUCUCAGCUCACUGCACCCUCUCCAGUGAUUCUCGUGCCUCAGCCUCCCAAGUAGCUGGAAUUACAGGAGUGCACCACCACGCCCAGCUAAUUUUUGAAUUUUACUAGAAAUGGGGUUUCUCCAUGUUGGCCAGGCUGGUCUGAAACUCCUGACCUGAAAUGAGCCACCUGCCUCGAUCUCCCAAAGUGCUGAGAUUACAGGUGCGAGCCACUGCGCCCAGCCCAGGUGGUAAAUUUCUGAGUUUAGUGAAAGUUAAAAUGGCAGCUCGAUUGUUUAAAACAAAUGAUGAGAAGAACGUCUUUGUCUAUGUGUGUAAACCCCAUGGGAUCUGCGUGGCAUCCCCCAAGUUGGUGAAAAAUAUUUACCAUAUAAUAGAGAAUAAAGGAUUCUCACCACUAACUGAUAAUCCUGCUAAACAACAGCAGCUUUGUAAAGGGAGUAGACAAUCAUUGAAAUCCAGGUAACUUUAAAGAAUUCAGCAGCGGGAAUCUGUAGGUCCAGAGUAUUUUAUAAAAGAUCGGGUUUCAUUGUAGAGGGAGGUAGCAAGGCUAAUAUAAUGAAGUAUGAUUUGCUGCUAUACUAGACAUGUAAUCUAAUAACAGUACAGUAUGAUAAGAAAAUUUAAAUAUGUAGUUUUGAAAAGGUUUCAGAAGUGCUCAAUGGUUCUGCAUCAGAAAGUGAAUUUCAGUAACAAGAGGAGACUCAAGGCAGGGCUGAUUAGAAGGCUCAGGGGACAUUCACAGGGUCAAUUAAGCUGUUCACUCAAUCUUCCUUAAAUGGGUCAGAAAGCCUAGGGCAGAGAUACUGUGAACUAGAAAAAUGAAAAGCAUCAACAAUUCAACAGUAAAGAGAAAUUUCAGUUAAGAGUUAUAUCUAAUGUAAAUGAGGAGUUAAUGGGUGCAGCAAACCAACACGGCACAUGUAUACAUAUGUAACAGAUGUGCACGUUGUGCACAUGUGCCCUAGAACUUAAAGUAUAACAAUAAUAAUAAUUUUAAAAAGUUAUAUCAGUAAAUGUAAUUAGGCCAGAUUUACCCAUAAAAAUAAAAUACAUAUUUUUAAAAAAAUCCAAAAAGGGUGGUAGAAACACAUUUUGAGUAAAAACGCAAUGAUUAGCUAUAUAUAUAUUUUUUUGAGAUGUGAUCUCACUUUGUUGCCCAGGCUGGGGUGCAAUGGCACGAUCUUGGCUCACUGCAGCCUUGACCUCCUGGGCUUAAGCAAUCCUCCCUCCUCAGUCUCCCAAGUAGCUAAGACUAUGGUGAGCACCACCAUGCCCAGCUAACUUAAUUUUUUAGAGAGAUGAUCUCGCUACGUUACCCAGGCUGGUCUCCAGCUCCUGGGCUCAAGUGAUCCUCCUGCCUUGGCCUCUCAAAGUGUUGAGGUUAUAGGUGUGCACCAGUGUGCUUGGCCAACUAGAUUUUUUUAAAAGGCUAAUUAAGGCAAGGUUUGAAGCCAGACUAACCAAUGUUAUACGUGGCAUAAUAAUGUUAGGGAGAAAUAAGAAACGCUAAACAGCACAGUAAAUAGAAACAUGAGCUUCAACUUCUCUUAAAUAAGCAAGAAAAUCUAUAAAAUAUGUAAAAUAAAAAUGGAAUGAAAUGUACUGUAUAAAAGUGUAAUCCUACUAUUAGGUCGGUGCAAAAGUAAUUGCAGUUUUGCCAUUACUUUUUUUUUUUUUUUUUUUUGAGAUGAAAUCUCGCUCUUGUCCCCCAGGCUGGAGUGCAGUGGUGUGAUCUCGGCUCACUGCAACCUCCACCUCCCACGUGCAAGCGAUUCUCUUGCCUCAGCCCCCCAAGUAGCUGGGAUUACAGGCACCUGCCACCAUGCCUGGCUAAUUUUUGUAUUUUUUAGUAGAGACGGGGUUUCACCAAGUUGGCCAGGCUGGUCUAGGACUCCUGACCUCAGGUGAUCCACCCGCCUCAGCCUCCCAAAGUCCUGGGAUUACAGGCAUGAGCCACCGUGCCUGGCCUACUUCUUCUUUUUUUUUUUUGAGAUGGACUUUCACCAUUCUCGCCCAGGCUAGAGUGCAGUGGCAUGACCUCUGCUCACUGUAACCUCUGCCCCCUGGGUUCAAGCAAUUCUCAUGCCUCAGCCUCCCCAGUAGCUGGAAUUACAGGCACCCACUACCACGCACAGCUAAUUUUUGUACUUUUUGGUAGAGAUGGAGUUUUGCUGUGUUGGCCAGGAUGGUCUUGAAAUCCUGACCUCAGGUGAUCCACCUGCCUUGGCUUCCCAAAGUGCUGGGAUCACAGGUAUGAGCCACCGCGCCCAACCUGCCAUUACUUUUAAUGGCGAUAACUGCAAUUACUUUUGCACUGACCUAAUAGAAAACUAACUACCCCACUAGGAGAAUCUCACACAGUUGUGGGGUUUUAAUCCCAUGGAAUCUAGAAACCACCUCACAGUUCAAUUUACAGAGGGGAAAUCACUGGAGCAUUUGGUUAACAUGGAAAAGGACACAGACUUAAACCAAGAGCCUCCACAAUUCUUCCCAGAGCUAUAAUAGAAUGCUCCUCUUGAAAACAGGAAUGAAAGAAGAGGAUCAGAGGCUCUGAGUGUCUGCACAUUCACUACUUGUAGGUAAUGCAGUCCCAUGCAAUCCAAGGGAUUCACUUGAGCAAAUGGACUGGGACAAUCAUGGGUUCAGCAAAGCGCUAUGUUUCUUGGUAAAGACAAGAAAAUAACAAACUCCCCUAUACCAGUAAUAAACAUCCACAAAAUGAAAUAAAAGAUCUUUCUCAUUUACAACAGGGAUAAACAUAUAAGCAUGUGGGAAUUAAAAUAAUGUAGUAUAAAUUCCAUUGAUAGAAAAAUCAGAUUACAAAAUGCUUGGAGCAAAGGAAAAGAAUGAUACAUUUCUUAGUGCAGUUGCAUUAAAUAUAAAGAAACAUACAUUUCUUUCCCAAGUUAAUUUAUAAAAGUUGGUAAAAUGGCUGGACACGGUGGCUCACGCCUGUAAUCCCAGCACUUUGGGAGGCUAAGGCGGGCAGAUCUCAAGGUCAGGAGUUUGAGACCAGCCUGACCAACAUGGUGAAACCCCGCCUCCACUAAAAAUACAAAAAUUAGCUUCGCAUGGUGGUGGGUGCCUGUAAUCCCAGCUACUCAGGAGGCUGAGGCAGGAGGAAGGAGAAUCACUUGAACCCAUGAGGCAGAGGUUGCAGUGAGCCAAGAUCACACCACUGCCACUCCAGCCUGGGUGGCAGAAUGAGACUCCGUCUCAAAAAAAAAAAAAAGUUGGUAAAAUGAUGAGAUGCAUAGAGAAAAAAUAGGUGCCCAAAAUACUAAAGGUUGUUGUUUUUAUUUAAAGUAAAAACAACAAUAGUAAACUGACUAUACAAGAUAUUGAAAUAGAAAACAAGAAGACUUCAUCAAAAGAGUGUGGCACUUAUUAGAGCAAAAAACUAGACUGAUAGAAUGAAAUUACAGACAGAAAUCCAGAUGUAUGUGUAAUUAUGCCCGAUUUGUCAGAUAUUAUUUAUCGGGGGAAGAAGUCAUCAAUAUUAUUGGGCAAACUGAGUAUUAAAGAAUAAGAAAAAGAAACAGAUAUUACUCUAUAUGCUAUAAUAAACUUCAGACAAGUUAAAGAUACAAUAAAUCACUGAAGAAUAAGAAAAUGGAUUGAGGAGAAAAGACUGUUUUCUUUUUUUUUUU